AGCAUUCAGUUGGGCACUCUAAGGGGACUGCCGUGCAAACCGAGAAAAGGUGGGGAUGAGUCAAGUUCUCAUGGCCCUUUACGCCUGGGGUACCCCACUUGUACAAUGGGCGGUGACAAGGGGCAGCAAACUCGGGAGAGUGAGUAAUUCCACAAAACCCAUCUCAGUCUCGGAUUGCAGUCUGCAACUCGAGGUGCAUG
rnacentral:rRNA from 1 species